rnacentral:SRP_RNA from 1 species
CAUCGAGUCCUGUGCGACGUCGCCGCGCGAACCUUGUCAGGUCCGGAAGGAAGCAGCAAUAAGCGUCCGCUGACGUGUGCCGCAGGAGCGCCCGGUGCGU